GGUGCUGGCUGAUACCCUCGUGCAUGGGAAAAGCUGCUGUAAGCAAGAGAAUAAUCUGGUGGAAAAAUGAAGGUUUGUUUAUUGGAGGCUGCACUACGCAGAUUUUACUAUUAGUGUGAUUGAUCUAAUAUUGGAUGACUCCGUACCCAAGUGCUUGUGUGAAAUAAUAAGCCUGGCUACUGAGCAAUUAUUAAAUACAAGGAAUUGUUAAAUCCUUGCAUUGUACAUAUUCUAAAGGAAAUUAAUCAUUUUGAACUCUGGAGAAUACAGUUUUAUAAGAAGAGAAGAAAUAGCAAAUACACAAUAGGGUAUUUAAAUGCUAAUACAGUCAAACAGUUUAAAGCAUAGCAUACAUUUUAAUAUUGGUUUACUGAAUACUAAUUACAGUCUGCUAAGUAGCAGUAAGUAGCAUUUAUUAUGAUUUGUUCAAAGUAUUGAUCCAGACAGUGACAAGCACAAUUUCCCUUACUGUAUAUAUCCUUAAAACCAAAUAUUAUCAGAUUACCAAGUCUUCUUAAACCAUAUUUUCUUUUGAGUUUUCUGUUGCAUCUCUCAGUGGCAGCUAAAUAUGUUACAGCUCAGUACUAUUUCAGCUCAAUGGUGUGAGGCAAAGACAGAUUGUUAUUUAUGAUCUGAAAUUUAUUCUCCUUUGCUACUCGAGGCUGACAACUUUGCAUGUGUUCGCAUCUGGUCACACAGCAGACUAUACAGGCUGGAGAGCCUUAAACAAAUAGCUGUGCCCGUCUUUUGUCAGCAGAAGUAACACUUCCAAAACAAAUGGCUCAUCCCACAUCUGGACGGGCCCGAGCUCCCCAGCAGGCUGCACCAGGCGUUGGGCAAUGCACAGCAGUGAUGACUCGACAUGUGCAGUUAAAUCAGGCAGGCAGAGAAAAGCAAUGCAGAGACCUGUAGCAGCCAGACAGCCUGACUCAGCUGAACCACUGCAGCUGUGGUGUCCAUGAAAUUUCAGUGCCAGUGACAUCUCUACCAAAAGCACACGGCUCAAUUAUAUCAGCAUGACAAAUAUCUAAAGCUCAAGAAAAUACUACAACGACUGGCAUUUGCAGACAAACGGGCUGGGAAGACAGAAAUUACCACAAUUGCUAUUCAUUGAUACACAGAACAAUGCUUCAGGUUUGGGUUUUGGGCUGACAGAGACAGCAACCUGAGCUAACUGAUCAGGACUUCAAUUUCAAAAAACACCUUGCAGCUGAGACAGAGCUGGAAUAUAAAGGUAUUAUUUACUGCAUAUUGAGAUAAUGAUGUACCAUUGUUAUGAAUCAUCAUGUAGUUACCACUGCUUCCAACGCUUUGCUUUGUUACUGCAAUAUAGAUACUGAUGGCAAGACUUCAGAUUUAU
rnacentral:lncRNA from 1 species